GUGUCAGCCGCCGCGGUAAUACGGAGGGUGCGAGCGUUAUCCGGAUUUACUGGGUUUAAAGGGUGUGUAGGCGGAUUUUUAAGUCAGUGGUGAAAUCUCGGGGCUCAACCCCGAAACUGCCAUUGAUACUAUUAGUCUUGAAUACUGUGGAGGUGAGCGGAAUGUGUCAUGUAGCGGUGAAAUGCAUAGAGAUGACACAGAACACCGAUUGCGAAGGCAGCUCACUACGCAGUUAUUGACGCUGAGGCACGAAAGCGUGGGGAUCAAACAGGAUUAGAUACCCCGGUAGUCC
rnacentral:rRNA from 1 species